rnacentral:rRNA from 1 species
UACGUAGGUGGCAAGCGUUGUCCGGAAUUAUUGGGCGUAAAGCGCGCGCAGGCGGUUCUUUAAGUCUGAUGUGAAAGCCCACGGCUCAACCGUGGAGGGUCAUUGGAAACUGGGGAACUUGAGUACAGAAGAGGAAAGCGGAAUUCCACGUGUAGCGGUGAAAUGCGUAGAUAUUGGGAGGAACACCGGUGGCGAAGGCGGCCCCCUGGACCGGUACUGACGCUGAGGCGCGAAAGCGUGGGUAGCAAACGGG